rnacentral:rRNA from 1 species
UACGUAGGGCGCAAGCGUUGUCCGGAAUUAUUGGGCGUAAAGAGCUCGUAGGCGGUUUGUCGCGUCUGCUGUGAAAACGCGGGGCUCAACUCCGCGCCUGCAGUGGGUACGGGCAGACUAGAGUGCAGUAGGGGGAGACUGGAAUUCCUGGUGUAGCGGUGGAAUGCGCAGAUAUCAGGAGGAACACCGGUGGCGAAGGCGGGGUCUCUGGGCUGUAACUGACGCUGGAGGAGCGAAAGCGUGGGUAGCGAACAGG